GCCCUGAGACAUAAGAAAUUGGUUCUCUGGGAAGGAUAGUGUUUCUAUGAAGGAAAGUAUGACCCCCCACCCCAGGAGAGGUUCUGGAUACUUAGACUACCAAGUGGACAAGAAAUGAGGAGGGUCCCAGCUGAAGGAUGUGGGCCACAAGAAUAUCAGACAUUGUUUUCUGGAAUCUGCCUGGCUUGGCCCAGGAGCCUGGUGAGCCUAGUCAGAGGACUGGAGCCACACACAUCCUGUGCCGGCCCUGCCUGGCCUUCCAUCCCUAUCAGAAGGGCCCGUGGCCUUCCUUGACCAACUGCAGUGUCUUGUUCCAGCCAGAUAUUCUGUUUGGAAGGUGACAGAGCCAGGCAUCCCCUGAAACUAGGUGGUGGGUAUGGAGGGCAGGUUCCAGUGACUACAGGCCUCCCUGGGGACCUUGUGUGUCCUUCAUGUUCAUUUAUUCUUGCACUCAGAAGACCUUAUUAAGCUUUACCUUGUGUUGAAUACAUUCUGGGUUCUGGGGGCAGACUGGUUAUUUUAAUUAUUUAUUUUAUUUUGGUUGUUUAUUUUCCUGUCUAAGAAUUCACAGCUGAGUGCCACAGAAGAUAGGCCUGCCACACCAUCUGUCUUCAUGGUCAGAGUCAGACUUCCUGGCUUCCAGUUCAUGGGUCACCACUCCUAGCUAUGUGGCCCUCAGGGCACUGGCCAGUCUUCUUCCGUGGCUCACUGUCCUCUUCACAAUUGGUCCCUCUCAACCCCCUGGAAAGACUGGGGCACUGUGCUGGUAAAGCUCUCAGGGUGGCGCCUCUGCAGCCUGAGCUUUGCAAGGCCUUCACUAACUGAAAGCCCCAGAUUGGGCUACAGUUUGCGGCACUGCCGGGCUGGCUCAGUGUACUGGGAGUGCACUGAAUCAUCAUUUCUCUGGGUAACUCCUCAGUUUUGCAAAGAAUGGAGGAAGGGCGAAGUCCUGAAGGAAUGUGGGCUGCAGCCUGAGCUUGGUCACGUUCAGCCGAUGGGAAAACAAAACAGACAGCAUGGCAAAAUAAUCAACCUGGCACCUUGGUCCAUGACCGCCUGGAUCGCUACUGCUGUGGCUUCGAGCCUGCACCCUCAGAUCCCUGUGUGGAAGAGGGACUCCGAGAGAAAUGUCAGAACCCAGAAGAGCUACGGCUGGUCCACAUACUGAUCCGGAGCAGUGAUCCAUCUCACUUGGUGUACAUAGACAAUGCUGGCAACCUUCAGCAUCCUGAGGACAAGCUGAACUUCCGGCUGCUGGAAGGCAUAGAUGGGUUUCCCGAGUCUGUUAUGAAGGUUCUUGCAUCAGGGUGUCUACAGAACCUGCUGCUCAAGUCGCUGCAGAUGGACCAGGUGUUCUGGGAGAGCCAAGGUGGAGCCAGAGGUCUGAAGCGCAUCCUUGAGACACUGGAGAGGCGAGGGCAGGUCUUGCUGAGACACAUCCAGAAGCACAACCUCACGCUGUUCAGGGACAAGGACCUGUGAGCCCAUCUCUGUCUGGGCAGAGCACAUCUUGCUGGAGGACUUCCCACAAUGUAAGCCUGAGCUGGUGAGUGUUGGCCAUCGCAUCGACAAAUGGGAAAAGGCAGAAGCUGGAGGAGCCUAUGGUGCCUUCCUGCUGGGGAGGUGGAAGACCUUCAGCCUCACACUCUUCUCUGCAUCCUCAGCUCUGGCUAUUUACUCCCAUGCAACAAUAAACGUGUUUAAGAACA